rnacentral:tRNA from 1 species
GUUUUAAUAAUUUAAAUAAAAUAUUGGUCUUGUAAAUCAAAUAUAAGUAAUCCUUUUAAAACU